UUAUUUUCCAAGCACGGCUAGAGGCUAGAUGUCGGUCUUGAACUUAGGCCCAAUACACCGAUGCUGUCAGAUAUCCUUGCAUCCAACUGUGGCUUCCAUUCCUUGAUGAACUACACCAUCUGGCUCUGACUGGAGAUGCUCCUGCAUGUUUAAUACAUUUAUUCAAGUGACCUCUGUGAAAGAGUCAUUCGACCUCUAAGGGGUCUUGAUCUACAGGCUGAGAACCACUGGGAUAGAGGAAGCAUGAUUCAGCCAAAGAGUGAAACAAUCAUCAUUCAGUGCUAAAAACAAACACCGAUACAAAACUACAACAAAAACAAGGCCCAAAGUAAACUGAAGUAUAUCGUCAGAGUAAAACAACAACAACAACAACAACAACAACAACAACAACAACAAAAACCCUGGAGUUUGUCAUUCCACUUCUGUAUGAUUCUGAAGAAGGUGAUGCCAUGAAGACAGUAAAAGCAAGCAAAACAGCAUCACACGUGGUGGUUUGAAGAUGCUUGGCCCAGGGAGUGGCACUAUUAGGGGGUGUGGCCUUGUUGGAGGAGGUGUGGUCUUGUUGGAGGAAGUUUGUCACUACUGGGGUAAGCUUUAUCGACCUUUCUCCUACCUGCCUGAGGGUGCCAGUUUUCUGUUUACCUUUGGUUCAAGAUGGAGAACUCUCAGCUCCUCCUGCACCAUGCCUACCUGGAUGCUGUCAUGCUUCCUGCCUUGGUGAUAGUGGGCUGAACCUCAGGACCAGGAAGCCAGCCCCAAUUAAACAAUGUCCUUUAUAAGAGUUGCCUUGGUCCUGGUGUCUCUUCCUAGCAAUGGAAACCCUAACUAAUACAAUGCACAGUCAUCUGGGGAUGCAGGUGAGGGGAUGAGUGGAGUACAGGAGGUUUUAGGGGGAGUGACUGUGUUCUAUGUAAGAAUAGGGGGGUGGGAGUAUGCAUUUGGAAGCCCACCACCAAGAAUGAGUGAUGUUAUCUGGAGACUUUCCGUAAUGAAAUGACGCGUCAAGGUGUAUCAGUUGUAACACAUGUAUCACUGUGGUGGGGAGUUCAAGAAGUAGCAUAGAGGGCAUGUGGGAAACUUGUAUCUUUCAGUUUUGGUGUAAACCUGAAAAUGCCCUCAAGGUUUUCUGUUUUUGUUUUUUGUAUUUUUUCGUUGUUACUUUGUAAUUUUUUUUUGACAAAUUGACAACAGAACAGCAAUCAAGCAGAUGUAGAAAUUAUCCAACGUCAUCCAAAUCAAAGCCUUUUUAACUAGUUGUCACAGACAGAACACUCUCCUUGUCAACUACACAUCCUAAACCAAGGGAAGAGUCACAGAUCUUGGCAACAAAACAGUAGUUUUAUAUUUUAUGCUGAUCUAGUGCAGAAAAAAAUUAAAACUUGCUAAUUAGGCUGAACAUCAUAGAUGUCAGGGGAUCUUUAGAGGUAGCAGUAGAAUCCAUGCGCUCUGAUAACCCGCAGAAAAUAGGGGAACGAAUCAGCAGAGCCCUACAUACCUGUGGUACAAUCACGAAAGAUGUGACAUUGUCUGGUCCCAGGAGGAAGAGAAAGCUCUCGAAUUUUUCUUUUCCCCUCCUCCCUCUCUCCUCCUUUCCCA
rnacentral:sRNA from 1 species